UCCAAACUAAUCCAAUCAUGCAUAAACCUAUUCUACAACAUUCCCAAUCAUACACAAACAAGCAUACAAGUUCCUAGGGGCAUCAAACCAUCAAAAACCCCAACUACAACACAUCAAGCAACUCACAUUGUUCAUAAACACAUAUAAAACCCAUAAACCUAACCAUGAGCUAAACAUGCAUUCUACCCCAUAGAUCUACUUAAAACUUACUUAAAACAUGCAAUGAGCUUAAGAUCGGCUCUUACCUCGUGGAGAUCGAGAGAGAGACG
rnacentral:lncRNA from 1 species